rnacentral:pre_miRNA from 1 species
GACUCACUCAAUCUGGGUGUGAUGUGCAAGUUAAUGUCCCCAUCACAACCUCCUUGAGUGAGCGA